GAUGGCUGAUGGGUUCUGCCGGAAAUAUGGAGGGCCUGGCCUUCAAUAGGUCUGGGUACAGCUCUACUCCCACCCUGUGAAGGAAGGGUUGUGAGAGAGCCCUGUUUAGGGCAAAGUCAAAAGAAGUGACUGAAGAGGAUGCUGGAAUCCAGAACCAGGAAGAAGAACUUCCCUCCAGAUUAUCAUACUGAUAAGAAGACAUAAGAGGUUUAUUUAUUUGUUUUUCAUGAGCACAGGAGGGGCAGA